UGGAUCCAUUUCUUACAGACG
rnacentral:miRNA from 1 species